AGCACUGGGGGCUCCAGGCUCCGGGGGACCAGCGGGGUCUUCCGCGGUUGCUUUCUGGGUGUGCCGAGAUCUGAAGUGCAAAAUAUUUGGAAGACUUGGAAGCUGACGAGUAGGCGUGUUCGGCGCAGAAUGAAGGUGUGGCGGCGGGCCACAUGUGACUGACCACCUCCUCAGACUUCACGGGGAUCUCUUCAUCACAAAACAGUCCACAGACGGCCGAGGUGAAGCCGCUCUGCUGAAACCAGACUGCUGGAAGGUCUGGAUGUGACCCUGCAGAGCGGAGAAGGUUACAGCGUCUGGCUUCAGUUCAACGCUGGAAAACUCAGCUGGGUUUCAAAUCAAUCAAUCGCAUGAUAAAUUAAAACGAGCUUAACCAAACAGCGGCGACUUCUUCACAGACGUUAAAGGGUUUUAAAGGCUCACCUGCAGGUCAGGGUUGGCGGCCGCUUUCAGCAGCUC